rnacentral:rRNA from 1 species
GAUUUGUUUCAGCCGCCGCGGUAAUGCGUAGGGUGCAAGCGUUAAUCGGAAUUACUGGGCGUAAAGCGUGCGCAGGCGGUUAUGCAAGACAGAGGUGAAAUCCCCGGGCUCAACCUGGGAACUGCCUUUGUGACUGCAUGGCUAGAGUACGGUAGAGGGGGAUGGAAUUCCGCGUGUAGCAGUGAAAUGCGUAGAUAUGCGGAGGAACACCGAUGGCGAAGGCAAUCCCCUGGACCUGUACUGACGCUCAUGCACGAAAGCGUGGGAAGCAAACAGGAUUAGAUACCCUGGUAGUCCACGCCCUAAACGAUGUCAACUGGUUGUUGGGAGGGUUUCUUCUCAGUAACGUAGCUAACGCGUGAAGUUGACCGCCUGGGGAGUACGGCCGCAAGGUUGAAACUCAAAGGAAUUGACGGGGACCCGCACAAGCGGUGGAUGAUGUGGUUUAAUUCGAUGCAACGCGAAAAACCUUACCUACCCUUGACAUGCCAGGAAUCCUGAAGAGAUUUGGGAGUGCUCGAAAGAGAGCCUGGACACAGGUGCUGCAUGGCCGUCGUCAGCUCGUGUCGUGAGAUGUUGGGUUAAGUCCCGCAACGAGCGCAACCCUUGUCAUUAGUUGCUACGAAAGGGCACUCUAAUGAGACUGCCGGUGACAAACCGGAGGAAGGUGGGGAUGACGUCAGGUCAUCAUGGCCCUUAUGGGUAGGGCUACACACGUCAUACAAUGGCCGGGACAGAGGGCUGCCAACCCGCGAGGGGGAGCUAAUCCCAGAAACCCGGUCGUAGUCCGGAUCGUAGUCUGCAACUCGACUGCGUGAAGUCGGAAUCGCUAGUAAUCGCGGAUCAGCUUGCCGCGGUGAAUACGUUCCCGGGUCUUGUACACACCGCCCGUCAAAC